UACGUAGGGGGCAAGCGUUAUCCGGAUUUACUGGGUGUAAAGGGAGCGUAGACGGUAAAGCAAGUCUGAAGUGAAAUGCCAGUGCUCAACACUGGAACUGCUUUGGAAACUGUUUGGCUGGAGUGCAGGAGAGGUAAGUGGAAUUCCUAGUGUAGCGGUGAAAUGCGUAGAUAUUGGGAGGAACACCAGUGGCGAAGGCGGCUUACUGGACUGUAACUGACGUUGAGGCUCGAAAGCGUGGGGAGCAAACAGG
rnacentral:rRNA from 1 species